rnacentral:rRNA from 1 species
AUCAACCGAGAUUCCCCCAGUAGCGGCGAGCGAACGGGGAGCAGCCCAGAGCCUGAAUCAGUGUGUGUGUUAGUGGAAGCGUCUGGAAAGGCGCGCGAUACAGGGUGACAGCCCCGUACACAAAAAUGCACAUGCUGUGAGCUCGAUGAGUAGGGCGGGACACGUGGUAUCCUGUCUGAAUAUGGGGGGACCAUCCUCCAAGGCUAAAUACUCCUGACUGACCGAUAGUGAACCAGUACCGUGAGGGAAAGGCGAAAAGAA